AAAAUAAAACCUAAAGAUAUGUGUAUCCGACAUGUGAUUGUUUUUGUUCGUGUUUGUUUUGUUUUUGUUGUUGUUUGUUUUGUUUUGUUUUGUUUUGUUUUUUUAAGAAGACAGAGUUUCUCUGUGUAGCCCUGGCAUUCUUGGAACUCCCUUUAUAGACCAGGGCUGCCUCUGCUGGGAUUAAAUGCUUUUAUUCUCUAUUCUCACAUAAGAAAGGGAGACAGCUUACUCUGUGUUUUAUUCAGUUUUGUUUGUUUGUUUGUUUGUUUGAGACAGGUAAAUUGACAGGAAGUUUCAGACACAGUGAGACCUCCAGAAUACUUGAAGCUUGAGAAUGGAAAAAGAGUACAAAUGGUCAUCAAUCCCAGAAGUUGCAGAUAUUUGCACUGGGGACUUGGAAACCCAGUACCUUCCUUUGUCAUUGGAGGUCCCAGAACCAACUUCCUCACAGACACCAAGGGCCAACUGUGUUUCCUAUUUGGUGUAAGAGUUCCCGUGAAGGAUCAGAGACAUGCCACAGGCUUCUUAUUGACCUGCUCUGACCUUCUGGCUAGUCCUGCAUAGAGGAGAAAGGUUGUGCUGAAUAGCUGGCCUAUGGCAAUUGAGGCCCAGACUAUCCUUCCAGAGUUGAACUCCGCCUUUGGUGCCAGUGAGAUGGACAGAGACUGGAGGCACGGAGAGGAGGAAGGCACCUGGAGGCCCUGCAGGGUAUGUUUGCUGCUAGCUUCUAAGAAUGCCUGUCUAGAACUGACUGCUGUCCACUCUCUGAUGAGAAAGACCUCCCAGGGGGUGGGGGAGACAGUCUGCGGGCCUGCUCCAUGUUUUGAGUUGAACAUGUGUGCAAAUCUUGGUGCUCUUUUAAAUGCAAGUUCUGAUGCCGUGGGUCUGAGCCAGGCAUUUCUAAUGAGCUGGCAGAUGAUGCCCUGAGGCCAGGUCAUGAGACCACACUUACCGGGUCUCCUAGAAUUCUACCCUUUGGGUCUUGGGCCUUUUCUUGCAUAGAUCAGUGGUUGUGCUCCCCAGAAGUCUCCUCUGCAGCCACAUGAUUGCAGUGGAAUUCCAGAGGGUAGGAGGCAGGGGAAUGAAUAAAGCCACUGGCAUUUACGCUGCUUAUUUUCUUUGACACUCCCUCCCCUUUGCUAAAGCCUAAAGGCAAGGCCCUGGCAUCCUGCAAGAUUGCCAGAGACACUCUCUACCAAGCCCUCUGGACAAGGUCAAGUCCCUAAGCACCAUUUCCAUAGCAACACUUUGCAAUUUGUCUCUCACCACCACUUCCCUGUUUGAGCUCACAUUAGGUUUAUUCUUCAGUAGCCUCAUGAACAUAUGCUCGCCCUCUCUCAUGAAAAAGCAGGAGCCCCUUGCUUCUUCAUCCUCAUCCCUAGAGGGUACCUUGGAUGCAGAGUGUACUCCAAACUUACAAAUGAAAUUGUGAGUGACACAAGACCUCCUUCACAUGUUUACUUCCGUAGAGACUCCUUUGGACGGAUGUUUGGCAAUGGCUUCAAGUGUUAGGUAAACACUUUAAAUUUACUUCUUAGCUCAGCAGUUAACUCCAGUGGGCAAAAUUUUGGGGGAGAGAAUGUAAGAAGGGCUGGCUGAACCAUGUUUCUGAGGUGCAGGGAAAAGCUGGGGGGACCUACGAAUUAACUUGAGGAGCAGGAGCAGGAAUCUGAAGCUUGUAGCCAGGAAGGACUCCUUGGCUGUAGCUGACUCUCCCUCAGCUUCUCGCAGGUCAUGUGUCAAGCUUAGCAACUUCAGUAAUGUGCUGCUCCCACACCUCUUUUACUCUAAGCCUGUGAUCUCAGAUUCCCAACAGCAUUUAUCAAAUCCAUGGAAAUAUCCCCCUUCUGUCCCCUGCAGGGGAGGUUUCACUAGGGGAGGGGGAGAGCUAAUAAGUUUUCUUGCUGGCUAAUCAGUUGCCUGAGGCAAACACCAGCAACUCUGGGCUUGCUUGCAUGAAACAGGCAGUGAAUGAUGCUGGAACCUGGGUGCUUUGCAAGGCAGAGCCCAGAAUGCAAGUGACACAUUACAUUCAUGCUCUGCCACUGGGUGUUGUUUCUCUGGGACUCCUGGGAGCUUACAUGCAUCAAGCUCUGAACUUUAAAGGAACCCAAACUUCCUCUAUUUCUUUAAUCCUCAAACACAAUCAGUUUAGGGAGUAUGCUGCUCAGACUUCAUGGUUUCCCUCUGUCUAUCUCUUUGUAAGGUGUAGACAUCUGCAGGGGUAUGGGACUUUGUGUCCACUGGUCAGACUUUUCAGCUUCAACUUUGGCAACAUUCUCUACUGCAAUGGACACUGGGAAAAUCCAGUUUCUCAUGGUGGUGAUGGGGCUUGGGAAACUGUCUCUUCUUUUGGAGUUGACAUUUUCGUAGCAUGCAAUGCUUGAGACCUCCAGACCAUAUUAUAAAAAAGAGACCUUUUCAAGCUGGGCUGCAUCACCUUUACUCCCUAGGCCCCUGAUGCUAUUCCUCUGGGCUUCACAGCCAGCUGCCUCCCCAUCAGCAGCCUGCGUUGGAUCUCUUUUGCAGGUACUCAGUUCAUGUGUGGCUUC